AUUACAGAGCAGGGCACCCCCCUGCUCCCUGGCUCCGUGUGCAGGAAAGGAGGAGGCUUCUGCAAAGCAGCAUACUCUGAAGCAUCACUUUUGCUCUGUGGAUCAAGACUGCUGAAUCAGCAAAGGAAAACGCCCCUGAUUUAAGCAGCUUAAUCACUGGUAGGAGACUGAAGGCCGCCUACCUCCUGACAGACUGAGGCUUUCGGCAGAAGCCAGUCCCAGGACAGUGGAACAUGGCUUUCGAAUUCAUGUCACAAUGUGAGCUGCACUCUGUUGGCAGUAUUGAGAAGGAAAGCAACUAGCAGUUAAGGACAAGCAUCAGGACAGCAGCUUCUGGGCAGUGGCAAGACAGGCAAAUGAAGCAGGGGUUUCUACCAAGAAGGAUCUUGUGAUGCUGACUUUCUUGACGUGGUGUGUCAUGUCUCCUUCAGCAGCAUGACCUCCAAUAAUAGCCUGGUGAUAAAGUGCAUGUAUAGAAGUGGGGCUGAGGGAGGAAGCUGGAAACAUCUAAAAGGACACUGAAUUUCUUGUGCUACAAACACCUGGGAAAAAGUAAGGAGGCAUUAAUCUUUGGUACCAGUUUAUCAGUCCAGUUGUACUUCAUUGCAAAUGUCCAAUUUUGAGCAUGUAGCUUUGGUGCAUACAACAGAAGUCCAUACUUUCCAGUGAAAGACCAUCUUUAAGAAGGACUUACUCCAAUUUACUAACGUUUACUUGCUUUGUUGAAUCAGGAUCUGUGAUUCAGAAGGCAUAAGAUUGCUGCAGUUGCGUGCAAGAAUCUGUCUUGUGCAUUUGUGAACGUAUUGUACAUAAAUGACUGAGAAAACUUGAAGACAAUGAAGAAACUACCAAGUGUCACAGGGCGUCAGUCACAGGCUUGCUGGUUUCCAGAAAAUCUUCCUGUAAAUUAAUUGAUUCAUGUCAGAAGUGGGCAAGCUUGCAAACAAGUCCAUCUGGAAAGAAAUCCCUCUUUUCUUGCCCAGACAACUUCAUAAAGAAGAUUCAGACUUUCCUCUUGACUGUUAUUCAGCCCAUCUUCAGCAUCUGAAGAAGGUGAUAUAAGCAAAAAGCAGGAAAGCUCAUAGCGAGAACCUUCUGGACCUAUAAGUGCCAGUGUACGUUUACACAAACCAAAUAGUUACUACCCCAUACUGUGGAUUUAAUGCUUGCUGUUUUCAACUUUCUUCAUUUAUUACAAUGAAAUAAGUGUCUCUAG